GCCUGCCUAGCUCAAUCGGAUAGAGCGUCAGACUUUUACGCACUUAUCCACCAAGGCGAUCUGAAGGCUGCGGGUUCGACCCCCGCGGUGGGCU
rfam:Cylindrobasidium torrendii FP15055 ss-10 unplaced genomic scaffold CYLTOscaffold_96, whole genome shotgun sequence.